rnacentral:lncRNA from 1 species
UUUCAAAGGGGUGCUUCCAAGAGGUGGCGCAUGGAUUUAAUCCUUAUCCUUUUCUUAAUUCUUCUACAAUGAGUUUAAUACUCAGAAGGACUCUUAGGUGCCUUCUAAGACAUCUUAAAUACAUUCGUAGAAUAAAGGUUACGGAGAAAAAUAGGAUAGACCUUAUCUAAAGGUGGCACCAACUCCAUCCAUGCGCCAUGUGGCUCAUGCGCAUGGAUUUAAAUCCACACGCCAAGAGAGAGACUCUUAGGCAUGUGGUUCCCUGGUUUUUGGCAC